rnacentral:rRNA from 1 species
AACGGCCGUACCAUGCUGAAUAUACCGGUUCUCGUUAGAUCACCGAGGUCAAGCAUCAUUGGGCGCGGUCAGUACUUGGGUGGGUGACCACCUGGGAACACCGCGUACCGUU